UACGGGGGGGGUAAGCGUUGUUCGGAAUUACUGGGCGUAAAGGGCGCGUAGGCGGCUUGAUAAGCGUGCGGUGAAAGCCCGGGGCUCAACCCCGGGUCGGCCGUGCGAACUGUCGAGCUGGAGCACUGUAGAGGCAGGUGGAAUUCCGGGUGUAGCGGUGGAAUGCGUAGAGAUCCGGAAGAACACCGGUGGCGAAGGCGGCCUGCUGGGCAGUGGCUGACGCUGAGGCGCGACAGCGUGGGGAGCAAACAGG
rnacentral:rRNA from 1 species